rnacentral:rRNA from 1 species
AUACGUAGGGGGCGAGCGUUGUCCGGAAUGAUUGGGCGUAAAGGGCGCGUAGGCGGCUUUGCAAGUCAGUAGUGGAAGUCCAUUUUUCAAGGAUGGAAGUGCUACAGAAACUGCGGAGCUUGAGUGCAGGAGAGGUUAUCGGAAUUCCCGGUGUAGCGGUGAAAUGCGUAGAGAUCGGGAGGAACACCAGUGGCGAAGGCGGGUAACUGGACUGCAACUGACGCUGAGGAGCGAAAGUAUGGGGAGCAAACAGGAUUAGAUACCCUGGUAGUCCACGCUGUAAACGAUGAAUACUAGGUGUGGGGGGACUGACCCCCUCCGUGCCGCAGUUAACACAAUAAGUAUUCCACCUGGGGAGUACGAUCGCAAGAUUGAAACUCAAAUGAAUUGACGGGG